rnacentral:lncRNA from 9 species
UAUUCUUGCCUCCUUUGUUGAAGAUUAAUUGACCAUAGGUGUCUGGGCUUAUUUCUGUGUUCUUUGUUCUGUCCAUUGGUCUGUAUGUCUCUUUUGGUACCAACACCACACUGUCUUGAUGACCGUGGCGUUGUAAUAUUGCCUGAAGUCUGGGAGAGUUAUGCCUCCUACUUGGUUUUUGUUCCUCAGGACUGCUUUGGCAAUUCUGGGUCUUUUGUGGUUUCAUAUAAAGUUUUGGAUUGUUUCUUCUAGUUCUGUGAAAAAUGUCAUGGGUAACUUGAUAGGGAUUGCAUUGAAUCUGUAGAUUGCUUCGGAUAGUAUCGACAUUUUUACAAUAGUAAUUUUUCCAGCCCAGGGGCAUGGAGUUUCUUUCCAUUUCUUUGAAUCCUCCUUAAUUUCCUUGAUUAAUGUUUUAUAGUUCUCAGCAUGUAAGUCUUUCACCUCCUUGGUUGGGUUUAUUCCCAGGUUUUUUAUUUUUUUGGGUACAAUUUUAGAAGGUAUUGUAUUUUUGUAUUCCCUUUCUAAUAUUUUUGUUGUUAGUAUACAGAAAUGCGACUGAUUUCUGAAAGUUAUUCUUAUAUCCUGUGACUUUGCUGAAUUUCUUGAUCAGUUUGAGUAAUUUUUGGGUUGAGACCUUAGUGUUUUCUAUUUAUAGUAUCAAGUCAUCUGCAUACAGUGACAGUUUUGCCUCUUUUCUUGCAAUUUGGAUCCCAUUUAUUUCUUUUGUUUGUCUGAUUGCUGUGACUAGGACUUCCAGUACUGUGUUGAAUAGCAGUGGUGAUGGCAGUGAGAGUGGGCAUCCUUGUCUUGUUCCAUAUUUUAGUGGGAAGGCUUUCAGCUUGUCUCCAUUGAGUGUUAUAUUUGUUGUGGGAUUGUUGUAAAUGGCUUCUAUGAUGUUAGGGUAUGUUCCCUCUAUACCCACUUUGGUAAGAGUUUUUAUCAUGAAUGGGUGUUGGGCUUUGUCAAAUGCUUUUUCUGCAUCUAUUGAGAUGAUCAUGUGGUUUUGACUUUUCUUUUUUUUUUUUUGUCUUGUUGUUGUUGUUGUUAUUGUUGCUAUUUCUUGGGCCGCUCCUGCGGCAUAUGGAGGUUCGCAGGCUAGGGGUCGAAUCGGAGCUAUAGCCACCAGCCUACGCCAGAGCCACAGCAACGCGGGAUCCAAGCCGCGUCUGCAACCUACACCACAGCUCACGGCAACGCCGGAUCGUUAACCCACUGAGCAAGGGCAGGGACCGAACCCGCAACCUCAUGGUUCCUAGUCGGAUUCGUUAACCACUGCGCCACGACGGGAACUCCUGACUUUUCUUUUGUUAAUGUGGUGGAUGACGUUGAUUGACUUGCGUAUGCUGAACCAUCCUUGUGAACCUGGGAUGAAUCCCACCUGGUCAUGGUAUAUGAUCUUUUUGAUAUGUUGUUGGAUUCAAUUAGCUAAAAUUUUGUUGAGAAUGUUUGCGUCUAUAUUCAUCAAAGAUAUUGGCCUGUAAUUUUCUUUUUUGGUGGCAUCUUUGUCUGGUUUUGGAAUUAGGGUGAUGUUGGUAUCAUGGAAUGUCUUUGGGAGUGUUCCUUCUUCUUCAGCCUUUUGGAAAAGUUUAAGGAGGAUGGGUGAAAGUUCCUCUUUGUAUGUUUGGUAGAAUUCACCUGUGAAGCCAUCUGGUCCUGGAUUUUUAUUUGUAGGGAGUGUUUUUAUUACAUUUUCAAUUUCAUUCUAGUGAUCCAUCUGUUCAGUUGAUCUAUUUCUUCUUGAUUCAGUUUUGGCAGGCUCUAAGUCUCUAGAAAGUUGUCCAUUUCUUCUAGGUUGUCAAAUUUGUUGGCAUAAGAUUGUUCAUACUAUUCUCUUAUGGUUUUUUGUAUUUGUGCAGUAUCUGUUGUGAUUUCUCCUUUUUCAUUUCUUAUUUUGUUUAUUUGGUUUUUUUCUCUCCUCUUCUUGGUGAGUCUGGCCAGAGGUUUGUAAAUUUCAUUUACCUUUUCAAAGAACCAUCUCUUGUUUGUAUUGAUUUUUUUCUAUUGUUUUUUGAAUCUCUGUUUUAUUGAUUUCCUCUCUGAUCUUUAUGAUUUCCUUCCUUCUGCUGACUUUAGGUUUUGUUGUCCUUUUUCUAAUUCAUUUAGGUGGUAGGUUAAGUUGUCGAUUUGAGAUUUUCCUUCUCUUUUGAGGAAGGCCUGUAUUGCUCUGAAUUUCCCUCUGAGUACUGCUUUUGUGGCAUCCUAUAGAUUUUGAGUGGUUGUGUCUUCAUUAUCAUUUGUCUCAAGGUAUUUUUAUUUUAUUUUAUUUUAUUUUUCUGCCUGUUUGCCUUUUCUAGGGCUGCUCCCUCGGCAUAUGGAGGUUCCCAGGCUAGGGGUUGAAUCAGAGCUGUAGCCGCCAGCCUAGGCCAGAGCCACAGCAAUGGGGGAUCCGAGCCAUGUCUGCAACCUACACCACAGCUCACGGCAAUGCCAGAUCCUUAACAACCCACUGAGCAAGGCCAGGCAUCGAACCCGCAACCUCACGGUUCCUAGUCGGAUUCGUUAACCACUGUGCCAUGACGGGAAUUCCUCUCAAGUUAUUUUUAGAUUUCCUUCUUGAUUUCCUCAUUGACCUAUUGGUUUUUUAGUAGCAUGUUUAGUCUCCAUGUAGUCAGUUUUUUCUCAUUGCUUUUCCUGUGGUUAAUUUCUACUUUUUUCAUGCCAUUGUGAUCAGGGGAGAUACUUGAAAUAAUUUCUAUAUUCUUAAAUUUGUCGAGGUUAGCUUUGUGCCCCAGUAUGUGAUCGAUCCUUAAGAAUGUUCCAUGUGCACUUGAGAAGAAUGUAUAUUCUGAUUUUUUGGAUGUGAUGUCCUGAAAAUGUUGAUUAAGUCUAACUUUUCUAUUGUGUCAUUUAGGAUCUCUGUUGCCUUAUUUUCUGUUUAGAGGAUCUGUCCAUUGAUGUAAGUGGAAUGUUAAAGUCUCCUACUAUGACUGUAUUCCCAUCAAUUUCUCCUUUUAUGUCUGUUAGUUUUUGUUGUAGGUAUCUGGGUGCUCCUAUAUUAGGGGGCAUAUAUAUAUAUUGAUGAUUGUAAUAGCCUCUUCUUGCAUGGAUCCUUUUACCAUUAAAUAGUGUCCUUCAUUAUCUUUCUUUAUGGCCUUCAUUUUAAAGUGUAUUUUGUCUGAUAGGAGUAUUGCAGCUCCUGCUUUCCUGUCUUGUCCGUUGGCAUGAAAUAUUUUUCCCCAUCCCGUCACUUUCAACCUAUAUGUGUGCUUUACCCUAAGGUGAGUCUCCUGUACAUAGGACUUUGUAGAGUUUUGCUUUUUUAUCUAAUCUGCCACACUUUUUCUUUUGAUUGGAGCAUUCAGUCCAUUGACGUUUAAGGUAAUUAUUGAUAGAUAUGUAUUUAUUGACACUUUAAACCUUGUUUUCCAGUUGCUUCUGUGUUUUUCCUUUCUUCCUUUCUUUUAAAAAUAUAAUUUUAAGGAUUACUUUUCAUUUAUAGUUACUACAGGAUAUUGGCUGUGUUCUUCAUGUUGUAUAAUACAUCCUUGAGUCCAUCUUACACCCAGUAGUUUGUACCUCCCACUCCCCCACCUUGGUAUUGCCCUGCCCCCCACUGGUAACCACUAGUUGCUUCUCUGUAUCUAUGAGUCUGCUUCUUUUAUCUUAUAUUUACUGUUUUGUUGUAUUUUUUAGAUUCCACAUAUAAGUGAUAUCAUACAAUAUUUAUCUUUAUCAGACUUAUUUCAUUUAGCAUAAUGCCUUCUAAAUCCAUCCGUGUUCCUGCAAAUGGCAAAAUUUCAUUCUUUUUAUGGCUGAGUAAUAUUCUUGUGUGUGUGUGUGUGUGUGUGUAUACCACAUCCUUUUUAUCCAUUUAUCUGUUAUUGAUGGAUGCUUAAGUUGGAGCUAGAGCAUCCAUCCCAAAGCAAAAGAAUAUAUAUUCUUUUCAAGUGCACAUGGAACAUUCUUCAGGAUAGAUCACAUGCUAGACCACAAAACAAGCCUAGGUAAAUUUAAGAAAAUUGAAAACAUCUCAAGAAUCUUUUCUAUCCCUAGACUGUGUACCUGGGUGCCUCACCCCCUCACCCUAGACAGCCUAGUUAGUUCUCUGACUCCAUGUCAGCACCCCAGCACUGCAAGCAAGUGCUCUGAUUGCCCCUGCCUGAAACUGCAAAGACCCUAUGGUGCCUUUUCCUUUUAAAUGUUCCUGGGGCCUGCACCUCUGAGAAUUUGCAGCAUGUUGAUAUGGUCAGGAAGGAGGGAUGGAGGCAAGCUAGGCCUGGGACAGGCCAUUGGCUGGCAAAGGGGUAGGAAAGAGGAUUGUGGAAGAAGAACUGCAGACAGUGAUGCUUAGGAGGCUGAGAAUAGACGGAGAUCUGGAAGAGCUGGCAGGAAGGGUGCAAUGAUGGGGUGGAGUGGGCAUUUGAGUACGUGAGGCGUGGGGGCAUCCAGAAGGGAGUGUGGUGCUGGAUGAGACGCUUAUGAGGAUGCCCAGACCCCAUCAUAUAGCUGAGAUUGGGGACCAUAGUCUCAUGGGCAUGAUACCUGGCACAGCCUCUGUAGGGGAGAUUUGGUCAUAGCUAUUGGAAUUACAGAUGUACAGACCUUGUUCCCAGCAGUCACAUUGUGGGACUUUAAUCCUUGCAUUAGACUUGUACACGUGCAAAAAAACCCACAUGCACAGAGUUACCAAGGUAGCAUUAUCAAUAAGCUUAAAAGACUGAAACAAUAUAAAUAUCAUUUAAAAGGACUGGUUGAAUGAUUGUAUAUCUGCAUAAUGGCUGGGAAAAAGAAAGAGGAUGUCUUGCCUGUACUGAUGCUUCAGUAGUGGAGACAGUGAUGAUGAUGGAGAUGGAGAGUGUGUUGGAGAAGGAUGUGAAUGAUGAUGGUGAUGCAGACAGUGGUGAUGACGAAGGAGAUGGUGAUGAUGACGGAGAGAUGGAUAUGAUGGAUGAGAUCACAACGGGAAUAAAUACCAAGCAUCUACUGUGUGUGGGGAUGGUGUCAUGUACUUUACUUAUGGCAGUUCGUUUACCUUAGAUUUGUUGUCAAGCGAACAAAUCCAGAUGUAGAAUUAGUGAAUAGCCUGCUACCGUCUGGUAGAAAAGAACUUUUCAGAAAAUGUCUCCAGAAAGAGACACAGAGAUUGGGAGGGGGCGCAAAUGGGGUGAUUGGGGAACGACAGGGAGGAAAGUUUUACUGGGUAUUUGAUGUUCUUUUUGCAUUUUGUGUCACGUAAAACUUUUACCUAUUCAAAAAAGUCUAAUUACAGUGAAAGAAAUCAAGUAAAGACACUUGGAGAGGAACCAUGAAAAAGGCAGUUGUCCUCAACAACCUGAGACCCCUACCAACCACUUUCCCUUUCAAGUCAAAGUGUUUACCCUUAAGUAGAAUUAGGUGGUGUUUAAAAAAUAGAAAAAGAAACAAAGAAAGAGAAACAGAAAAACUCCCCUUCUUCAUCUCUCUGUUGUGGCACAGUCUUGAGCACUGUUUGCCUAUGGAGUUUUUAAUGGGCUGCAAUAUGACAUUCAACAGCUAAAGAUUCUGUCUUGGAAUCUUCGGUGCUGAUGUUUUUGAAGUAUCACAGAGGGGAUUCUUACUGGCACAUUUUUCAUUAGCUGUUGUGGAAGGUACAUCAUUGUAGCUAAGACUUGGGGCUGUGGAGUCAGACAGACCUAGGAUUGAAUGCAGUUUCUAAUAGACUUGCUAACUGUGACCUUAGGCCAGUGAAUCAACAUUUCUGAUCCUCAGUUUCUCUUUUUUUCUUGGCCACACCUACAGCAUGUGGAAGUUCCUGGACUAGGGAUUGAAUCCGAGUCACAUCUGUGACCCGUGCCGGAGCUGUGGCAAUGUUGGAUCCUUAACCCACUUCCCUGAGCUGGGGAUUGAACAUGUGCCACCACAGAGACGAUGCCGGAUCUUAACCUACUGUGCCACAGCGGGAACUUCUGCUCCUCAGCUUCUGUGUGAGUAAUACGGGAAGAGUAAUAGUAACAGCUGCCUCGGGCUGCUGCGGGUCCCUGGGUGCUGAUGUUGACCGUGACGAUGACUGUCCCAGGCAGACUCAUUGAGAUGCUCAUUCCCCGGCGCCGGCAGGUACCAUUGUCCUCUGAAAUCUGAAUCCAGUGCUUCUCGGACCGCACAGUGGGACAGGGAUGCAGUGUGGGAAGUGACACUCUGGCCUCGAUGUCGUCUUCUGAAACUGGGUGCCGUCCUGGUGGGCUCCCGCUGUGCUCACUCCUUCCUCGUCCAGGAUAACCCCCUUCCCCAGACAUCAGCUUACUCAGCCACCCUCGCUUAAUCUCUCUCCAUUCUUCAUAGCUAUGCUUGUGUACACAUUCUAAAUACGUGCCUAGUGGAGCCCGGAUUCUUGUUUUCCUCCCUGCUCACUCCUGGGAUGGUCCCACAAGGGAGCUAAUUAGCACCGUAUUUUUAACGGCAGCCUCCUCUCUGGAAGUGUGCGGCUUUAUUUGGUGUUCUUGUUGCCACCCAAGCGUGGAGUCAUUUCAGGGCUGGCUGGAUUCAUCUCACUGAUGGACACCAAGAAAAACACUUUGCUCACUUUACAUCCAUAACCCACUGCUUCCAUCUGAGGGAAGAGAAUUCCAGAGGAUCCUGCCAUUAUCGCUU